UUUAGAUUUUUAUGCCCCACCUACGAUAGUAGAGGGGCAUUAUGUUUUCUGGUCUGUGCGUCCGUUCGUCCGUUCGUUCGUCCGUUCGUCCGUUCGUCCGUCUGUCCCGCUUCAGGUUAAAGUUUUUGGUCGAGGUAGUUUUUGAUGAAGUUGAAGUCCAAUCGACUUCAAAACUUGGUAUCACAUGUUCCCUAUGAUAUGAUCUUUCUAAUUUUAAUGCCAAAUUAGAGAUUUCACCCCAAUUUUACGGUUCACUGAUAGAAAAUGAUAGUGCAAAUUUCAGGUUAAAGUUUUUGGCUUCAGGUUAAAGUUUUUGGUCAAGGUAGUUUUUUGAUGAAGUUGAAGUCCAAUCAACUUGAAACUUAGUAUACAUGUGCCCUAUGAUAUGAUCUUUCUAAUUUAAAUGCCAAAUUAGAGUUUUGACCCCAAUUUUACGGUUCACUGAACAUAGAAAAUGAUAGUGCAAAUUUCAGGUUAAAGUUUUUGGCUUCAGGUUAAAGUUUUUGGUCAAGGUAGUUUUUGAUGAAGUUGAAGUCCAAUCAACUUGAAACUUAGUAUACAUGUGCCCUAUGAUAUGAUCUUUCUAAUUUAAAUGCCAAAUUAGAGUUUUGACCCAAUUUUACGGUUCACUGAACAUAGAAAAUGAUAGUGCAAAUUUCAGGUUUAAGUUUUUGGUCAAGGUAGUUUUUGAUGAAGUUGAAGUCCAAUCAACUUGAAACUUAGUAUACAUGUGCCCUAUGAUAUGAUCUUUCUAAUUUAAAUGCCAAAUUAGAGUUUUGACCCCAAUUUUACGAUUCACUGAACAUAGAAAAUGAUAGUGCAAAUUUCAGGUUAAAGUUUUUUGGUCAAGGUAGUUUUUGAUAAAGUAGAAGUCCAAUCAACUUGAAACUUAGUAUACAUGUUCCCUUUGAUAAGAUCAUUCUAAUUUUAAUGCCAAAUUAGAGAAUUUAUUCCAAUUUCACAGUCCUUUAAACAUAGAAAAUGAUAGUGUGAGUGGGGCAUCCGUGUACUGUGGACACAUUCUUGUUGAUUA
rnacentral:lncRNA from 1 species